rnacentral:rRNA from 1 species
AUUGAACGCUGGCGGAAUGCUUUACACAUGCAAGUCGAGCGGCAGCACGGGGGUAACCCUGGUGGCGAGCGGCGAACGGGUGAGUAAUACAUCGGAACAUGCCCAGUCGUGGGGGAUAACACUUCUAAAGAAGUGCUAAUACCGCAUACGUCCUGAGGGAGAAAGCGGGGGAUCGCAAGACCUCGCGCGAUUGGAGUGGCCGAUGUCAGAUUAGCUAGUUGGUGGGGAAAAGGCCUACCAAGGCAACGAUCUGUAGCUGGUCUGAGAGGAUGAUCAGCACACUGGGACUGAGACACGGCCCAGACUCCUACGGGAGGCAGCAGUGGGGAAUUUUGGACAAUGGGGGCAACCCUGAUCCAGCCAUGCCGCGUGAGUGAAGAAGGCCUUCGGGUUGUAAAGCUCUUUCGGCAGGAACGAAACGGUGAGCUCUAACAUAGCUUGCUAAUGACGGUACCCGAAGAAGAAGCACCGGCUAACUACGUG